rnacentral:rRNA from 1 species
UACGUAGGUGGCAAGCGUUGUCCGGAUUUACUGGGCGUAAAGAGCGCGCAGGCGGUCCGAUCAGUCGAAUGUGAAAGCCCCCGGCUCAACUGGGGAGGGUCAUUCGAUACUGUCGGACUCGAAGGCAGGAGAGGGAAGCGGAAUUCCCGGUGUAGUGGUGAAAUGCGUAGAUAUCUGGAGGAACACCGGUGGCGAAGGCGGCAUCCUGGACCGGAAUUGACGCUGAUGCGCGAAAGCGAGGGGAGCAAACGGG